UGCCCCAUGGCUGAGUUGGUUACAGCGUCCGACUGUUACCAAUAUGAUGACAUCGGAAGGUCGUGAGUUCGAGCCUCACUGGGGCAG